CGUCUUCACCAGGGGUGUCCCGUCAAGGGGCUGAGAUGCUGCUAGGCCGAGAAGGCAGUGCAGGGACCCUAUGAACCUGAUCCAGUUCAUACUGGCGUAGGGACGGUGCGGAUGUCCGGUG
rnacentral:ncRNA from 1 species